rnacentral:rRNA from 1 species
GAUGAACGCUGGCGGCGUGCCUAAUACAUGCAAGUCGAGCGAAUGGAUUAAGAGCUUGCUCUUAUGAAGUUAGCGGCGGACGGGUGAGUACCACGUGGGUAACCUGCCCAUAAGACUGGGAUAACUCCGGGCAACCGGGGCUAAUACCGGAUAACAUUUUGAACCGCAUGGUUCGAAAUUGAAAGGCGGCUUCGGCUGUCGCUUAUGCAUGCACCCGCGUCGCAUUAGCUAGUUGGUGAGGUAACGGCGCACCAAGGCAACGAUGCGGAGCCGACCUGAGAGGGUGAUCGGCCACACUGGGACUGAGACACGGCCCAGACUCCUACGGGAGGCAGCAGUAGGGAAUCUUCCGCAAUGGACGAAAGUCUGACGGAGCAACGCCGUGUGAGUGAUGAAGGCUUUCGGGUCGUAAAACUCUGUUGUUAGGGAAGAACAAGUGCUAGUUGAAUAAGCUGGCACCUUGACGGUACCUAACCAGAAAGCCACGGCUAACUACGUGCCAGCAGCCGCCGUAA